rnacentral:rRNA from 1 species
ACCCGCUGAACUUAAGCAUAUCAAUAAGCGGAGGAAAAGAAACCAACCGGGAUUACCUCAGUAACGGCGAGUGAAGCGGUAACAGCUCAAAUUUGAAAUCUGGCUCCUCUGGAGUCCGAGUUGUAAUUUGUAGAAGAUGCUUUGGGAGGUAGGGCCGGCCUAAGUUCCUUGGAACAGGACACCAGAGAGGGUGAGAGUCCCGUCUGCGGCUGAGGCCUACGCCCGUGUAAAGCUCUUUCGACGAGUCGAGUUGUUUGGGAAUGCAGCUCAAAAUGGGUGGUAAAUUUCAUCUAAAGCUAAAUAUUGGCCAGAGACCGAUAGCGCACAAGUAGAGUGAUCGAAAGAUGAAAAGCACUUUGGAAAGAGAGUUAAACAGUACGUGAAAUUGUUGAAAGGGAAGCGCUUGCAACCAGACUUGGGCGUCGUGGAUCAUCCGAGGUUCUCCUCGGUGCACUCGACGAUGCGCAGGCCAGCAUCGGUUUGGGUGGUUGGAGAAAGGCUCUAGGAACGUAGCUCUCUUCGGGGAGUGUUAUAGCCUAGAGCGCAAUGCAGCCCACCCGGACCGAGGACCGCGCCUUUGGGCUAGGAUGCUGGCGUAAUGGUUGCAAGCGACCCGUCUUGAAACACGGACGGACCAAGG